CGGAGAGCAAACACCGGGCAGAGGGCUAAGCUGCCUGAAGCUGGGAACCCCAGGGAGUGUAGACGCCGGUCUGGAUCCCGGGUCUGGGAUGGCAGACAUGAAACUUCUUUGGAAGACAUCCCUCCCCACAGGCAGGGGGUCCUCACUGGUCUCACACGGGUUGUCCCCAUGAACUUGUGGGAGCUUCACGGCUUCUGCAUCUGAGGAGCUGAUUGGAAGGGGAGGUGGCAUGCAGGCUGACAGCUCGAUGCUUCGUAUUCAUCAUAAUCACAGCAGCAAGACCGAACUAAGAACGUCAAUGUUUGUUCUCGGGUUCAAAGAAGUCAGCGUCUUUGGCGGGAGCUGGGCCACCAUCGCCCGGACCACGCUGGGGUGCUAAGUGCUCACAUCCUCCCCAGCACCGUCCUCAACAGCCAAGAGGCAGGCACAGGGGAAAACCCACCAGCAACACCAGCGCCACAGCGUCCACACCCGCCGAGGAUGCUGCACAAAAGGCCCAUGGACCAGGGUGCCUGGGGGCAGGGCAUGCUGGGCACCAUCCAUCUUCUGGCAGCUUCUGGUUAACCCGAAAAUCCUGUUUGGUUUUCCUGUGUCUUUUGAGAAUGUCACUCAAACCCCUGAAUCCUCUCUGUGAUCUAAGUGUCAUGAGGCUUCCACCUCUCACACUCAUUGCACAGGUGGCCACCAAGCCCCUUUCUACCCCAGUGCCUUUGCACUUG
rnacentral:lncRNA from 1 species